rnacentral:rRNA from 1 species
CAGCCGCCGCGGGAAUACGGAGGGUGCAAGCGUUAAUCGGAAUUACUGGGCGUAAAGCGUGCGUAGGCGGUUCGUUAAGUCUGUUGUGAAAGCCCCGGGCUCAACCUGGGAAUGGCAAUGGAUACUGGCGAGCUAGAGUGUGUCAGAGGAUGGUGGAAUUCCCGGUGUAGCGGUGAAAUGCGUAGAGAUCGGGAGGAACAUCAGUGGCGAAGGCGGCCAUCUGGGACAACACUGACGCUGAGGCACGAAAGCGUGGGGAGCAAACAGGAUUAGAUACCCCCGUAGUCCCUGUCUCUUAUAC